rnacentral:lncRNA from 1 species
GGAGAAAUAGAAGUUGAGCAGGCCACCAACAGGAACCACAAUAGUCUACAAAUGCCUGCAACAAAGGACUAGUCCUAAGAUGUUGAGGGCAACAUCUUAGUGCACCUCUUCACUUAGAAAUCAAGUCGUUUGUCAGGUGCCAAUGAAAAAAUUUUCAAUACCUUCAGACUGACAGUCUCCAGAAGUGAAUGCUGGCUCUCCACAGCUCACUAAAGGUCACCUAGCACGGCACAUGGCCAAGUGGAUGUUUUGGGAUUGGCUCAUUCCUCCCUCUGCUUUGAGGCCCCAAGGAUCUGGGGUUGCUCUCCUGUGUUGACGGAUCCUCCAAACGUCUAUACAAUGCUCACUCCACACUUGGCAAAGAGAAUCUCCUCUGGGAUAGAGCCACAUAGGCCUGAAGAGAGAUGACUCCCAGUCCUGUCCUUUCACUUCAAAUAAAUAAACACAAAAGUAAAACAAAAGACAGACAGACAAAAAGCAGACUCAAGGAACAGAAUUAGGAAAACGUACGCUUUCACAAAAACAAGAGAGAGUAAAAGGACACCAAGGGGAAAACCUACCUCUGUUCACCCGAGCUCUGAGGAAUCAGUAUUUUUAAAACUAUUUUUUUAAAAGGUAAAGAUUUGUUAUCUAUCCUCCUCUUCCUAACAGUCCUUUUUUUCCAGCAGUUUCUUUAUUCAUCGGAGGCAGGAGGAUGAACAAAGGCCCGCUCCUUCUCAAGAAACACCCCCCUCCUUCCUCAUCUCCACACCCCUGCCUUGACUUCAGGAAACGUGUUCAGAGAAAACAAUUCCAGUUACUGGAAGAUCUUAAGGCUUUCCUCUGUGGGUUAACAACAGCCUGGCCUCCAACCCCCAAGAAAAGAUAUUUACUAAGCAAUAACAACACCUUUUAUGUUAUCUCAAUAUUAGGCAAGUCACUUCAUCUGUCUUAAUUCGGAUUCCUUUAUCACACAGUGAUGAAGCUUAGAUAGAUUAGCAGUUUGAAAAGUGUGUGUUUCUAUGUAUUUAAAUGACAGAAGAUUGCUUUAAAUAACAUCAUCUUAUGUGGAGCUCACAUAAAAAAAAAAACAGGUAAAAGCAGAGGUGCUUUGAUUGAGGGAAGGGUGGGAGUGAUAAGGCUGGGUAAGAGGAGGAUGCUAUGGUUUGAAUAUCCUCUCCAGGACUCAUCAGCUGCCACUGUGAUGGUAUGAAGGGGUGGGACCUUUAAGAGGUGAUUAAGGGCCCUUGUGAAUGGAUUAAUGUCAUUAUCAGGAAAUGUGUUUGUGGAUGCAAGUUGAUAGAGGGGGUUGUUAAUAAAUUUGGCCCCCUCUGGCCCUCUCUUUCUGCCUCAUAUAUGCUCACUUUCCCUUUCACAUGUUAUGAUGCAGCAAGAAGACCCUCAUCUCACACAGCAAGAUGCAGCCCCUUGAUCUUGGACUUCCCAGCAUCCAGAACCUAAGGUAAAUAAACUUCUAUUGUUUAUGAUUUACCUCGCCUGGGGUAUUCUGUUAUAGCAGCAGCAACUGGACUAAGACAGAAGAGUUUCUAGACCCUGGACUGAGCUUCAGCACACCUUGAAGAACUGCCCUAAGCCAUGGCUUUUCCAGCAAUUUAACAACCACUGUCCCAGCUGUUUUCUAAGGUCCCUUCAUAUGUGAAAUCAAGGUCCUGUUUUCUUUCUUAAAAAGAAAGACUGAUUCUUCCCUUAUAGAUUCACACAGUGACAUAUGACACCUUCCACAGGUAUAAAAUAAGAACAAAAAAAAAAUCCCUUUUAACCCUAUUUUUCGUUUUUGUAAUUUUGAAAAACAAAACUUAAUAGAGAACAGUACAGGGAAAAUAUAACUAUACCUACCAUCCAUAAUCUGAAAAAUACAAUUUGACACAUUUGUCUCAGACAGGUUUUUUAAAGUAAAGAAAUAAAAGUUGGCAGAUGUUGAAGUUCUCUUAGUUUAUCUGUCCAAUCCCAGUUUCCUUCUUUUAUCCCCAUCUUGACUAAGUAAUGUCCCCUCCCCAAGAUGUCCAUGCCUGACUCCUAGCACUGGUGAAUAUGUUGCCUUAUGUAAUAACAAAAGAGAUUUUGCAGAUGUGAUUUAAAUUAAGGAUUUGGGUAUGGGGAGAUUUUUCUAAAUGAUCCAACUGGACCCAGUAUAAUCAGAAGGGUCUUAAUUAGGAGGAGGCAGGAGGGCCAGAGUCAGAAAAGAUGUGACCACAUUUCAUGAAGUUGGUGGCAGUGAAGCAGGGACUGGUGUGAUGUGGCUGUCUUCACUCAUUUUCUGUGAGAUAACAGAAUCCCUAAGACUGGCUAAUUUAUAAAGAACAGAGACUUGUUUCUUACAGUUCUGGAGGCAGGAAAGUCCAAAGUCAAGGGGUACAAAUCUGACAAGGGACUUCUUGCUGCAUCAUUCCAUGAUGAAGAGUAUCACCUGGUAAGAAAAAAAAAAUGUGUAAAUGCCCAAAAGAGACAAAGAGAGACACAGAACUCACUCUUUGGUCAGAAACUCACUCUUGUUACAAUGAAACUACUCCCAUGAUACAGCAUUAAUUCAUUCAUGAGGGCAGAGCCAAAAAGAACACAGUUCUGAUGCUGCAUUGUGAAUUUUUGACCUCAAGAAUGUGCGAUAAUAAAUGUGUGUUGCUUCCAACUGCUAAAUUUGUGCUGAUUUGUGAUAGCAGCAAUUGGAAACUAAUACACUGUGCUGUCCUCAUUGCUCAUUUAAAAAAUUCUCCUGGCCUUUGUAGUCAUUUGAGUUUGUGACUCUAGCUAGAGUUGCCAGAUUAAAUAAAAACAAGCAAACAAAGCAGAAUUUACAGCUAAAUUUUAAUCUCAGAUAAACAACAACAAAUUUUUUAGUAUAAAUAUGCCCCAAAUAUUACUGAGUAUCUGUAUUGUUAUUUGCUAAAUUCUAAUACCAGGUCUCCAGCUCUCAAUUGCCUCACCUGACUCCAUUCCAACUUUACCUCCCAUUGCUCUCUUUCUUAGGCAUUAUGCUUUGGCCAAACCAGGCUGCCCACCAGUUUCCUGAGCAUGUUUGCACUCUUCUUGGGGAUCCUGCCUCUGCUUCUCUCCAGUUACCUAAGAUUAAGUCAGUGCUCUUCAAGAUCAAGUUGAAGAUCCAGCUCCUGAACUGGAGAUUCCCAGUCUCUGCCUUGGGGAUCCCUCUGUCCUCCUGAUUCUCAUAGUAUGUUAUCAAUGAAACUUAUUUUACAUUUAUUAUUUUGAACUGCAGUGUUACUAAUCUUUUAAUAGGUAUCUCUCCACUGCAUUACAACCUUUGAAUUUUAACUUAUUAAGGUAUCCCUAGUGUCGACGGUGCUUCGUACCUCAGAGUUAGUGGACAGUGUGCCAAUGUAAGGAUGAUCUAUCAGCUUUCAUAACACACCAGCCCCAAACUUCUCAACCUAAAUGACAAAGUUGGUGUGGGCUGUAUUCAAAAAAUACCAUAAACUGUUGUGACUCAAACAAAAAAUAUUUAUUUCUCACCCUUCUGGAAGCUAAGUGGUCUCAGAUUGAGGUGCUAGCAGGUUUGGUGUCUGGUGAGGGCUUUCUGUUUUAAAGGCAGCACAUUCUAAGAUCUGCGUCCUCAUACUGGGGAAGGAAUGAGCUGCUUGUGCACAUUGUAUAAGGGCACUAAUACCAUUCGUGAGGGGUUCCACCCCUAUAACUUCAUCUAGUCCAGUUAACUCUCAAAUACCC